UGAGACUUUUAAGUAGUAGUGCCGCAGGUUGGAAAUAUGAAAUCACAACCUCCACACCACUGCUUAAUAGAUUCU
rfam:Strongyloides papillosus strain LIN genome assembly, scaffold: SPAL_contig0000002